rnacentral:rRNA from 1 species
CACACUAUCAUUAACUGAAUCCAUAGGUUAAUGAGGCGAACCGGGGGAACUGAAACAUCUAAGUACCCCGAGGAAAAGAAAUCAACCGAGAUUCCCCCAGUAGCGGCGAGCGAACGGGGAGCAGCCCAGAGCCUGAAUCAGUGUGUGUGUUAGUGGAAGCGUCUGGAAAGGCGCGCGAUACAGGGUGACAGCCCCGUACACAAAAAUGCACAUGCUGUGAGCUCGAUGAGUAGGGCGGGACACGUGGUAUCCUGUCUGAAUAUGGGGGGACCAUCCUCCAAGGCUAAAUACUCCUGACUGACCGAUAGUGAACCAGUACCGUGAGGGAAAGGCGAAAAGAACCCCGGCGAGGGGAGUGAAAAAGAACCUGAAACCGUGUACGUACAAGCAGUGGGAGCACAGAGCAAUCUGUGUGACUGCGUACCUUUUGUAUAAUGGGUCAGCGACUUAUAUUCUGUAGCAAGGUUAACCGAAUAGGGGAGCCGAAGGGAAACCGAGUCUUAACUGGGCGUUAAGUUGCAGGGUAUAGACCCGAAACCCGGUGAUCUAGCCAUGGGCAGGUUGAAGGUUGGGUAACACUAACUGGAGGACCGAACCGACUAAUGUUGAAAAAUUAGCGGAUGACUUGUGGCUGGGGGUGAAAGGCCAAUCAAACCGGGAGAUAGCUGGUUCUCCCCGAAAGCUAUUUAGGUAGCGCCUCGUGAAUUCAUCUCCGGGGGUAGAGCACUGUUUCGGCAAGGGGGUCAUCCCGACUUACCAACCCGAUGCAAACUGCGAAUACCGGAGAAUGUUAUCACGGGAGACACACGGCGGGUGCUAACGUCCGUCGUGAAGAGGGAAACAACCCAGACCGCCAGCUAAGGUCCCAAAGUCAUGGUUAAGUGGGAAACGAUGUGGGAAGGCCCAGACAGCCAGGAUGUUGGCUUAGAAGCAGCCAUCAUUUAAAGAAAGCGUAAUAGCUCACUGGUCGAGUCGGCCUGCGCGGAAGAUGUAACGGGGCUAAACCAUGCACCGAAGCUGCGGCAGCGACACUAUGUGUUGUUGGGUAGGGGAGCGUUCUGUAAGCCUGUGAAGGUGUACUGUGAGGUAUGCUGGAGGUAUCAGAAGUGCGAAUGCUGACAUAAGUAACGAUAAAGCGGGUGAAAAGCCCGCUCGCCGGAAGACC